UGGCCAGUCCUCUUCCCGAGCCAGCCUUACAUUCGUUUUACGUUGAAGUCUAUUUGCACAAAGCCCAAUUUUUUUUUUCCUCUGAAUAUUUAAUAUUAAGGAUCAAAGCUCAUCCGAAAACAUUACAAUAAGAAGCCCAAACAUCCGGCCCAACUAGAAAAAACCACAUACGGGUCUAAAGUCCAAACCCCACAGCCCAGAAGCUGGAAACCCUAGUCUCCCCAAGCUAACCGACGUCAACGGCGUCGCACACCACCAGAUCGAGACUGUGCGACCUUCACCGCUCGAGAACCUUCAUCGGAGAGCAUCCAUCGAUCUAACACAUCGAGAUCUCGUCUGAAACCCAAGCCAAACGGUUCACCACACACCAACACAGAUCUAUGAUAUCACUCGAACAAAUAAACGCCUACAAUCAAUCCAUUACCUCCGACAUCCAUGCAGCGGUUUCAGAUGAUAGAUCAAGAGGCAGAGAAGCUUUGAAGUGCAGACUCAUAGAUCGAGAAGAAAAGGAAUAAAAACCGGGAGCCAAAGAAACAAAACCGGAGAAGGCGAUACUAAAGGAGCU
rnacentral:lncRNA from 1 species